ACCUUCCUACGGGGGGCAGCAGUGAGGAAUAUUGGUCAAUGGGCUUACGCCUGAACCAGCCAAGUCGCGUGAGGGAAGACUGCCCUAUGGGUUGUAAACCUCUUUUGUCAGGGAGCAACGCCGGCUACGUGUAGCCGGACUGAGAGUACCUGAAGAAAAAGCAUCGGCUAACUCCGUGCCAGCAGCCGCGGUAAUACGGAGGAUGCGAGCGUUAUCCGGAUUUAUUGGGUUUAAAGGGUGCGUAGGCGGGCUUUCAAGUCAGCGGUAAAAAUUCGGGGCUCACCCCCGUCCGGCCGUUGAAACUG
rnacentral:rRNA from 1 species